AUGAACGCUAGCGGCAGGCUUAAUACAUGCAAGUCGAGGGGCAGCAGGGAUAGCAAUAUUCGCUGGCGACCGGCGCACGGGUGCGUAACACGUAUACAAUCUGCCUUUUACUGGGGGAUAGCCUUUCGAAAGAGAGAUUAAUACCCCAUAAUAGAUUGCUCGGCAUCGAGUGAUUUUGAAAGCUCCGGCGGUAAGAGAUGAGUAUGCGUCUGAUUAGCUAGUAGGUGAGGUAACGGCUCACCAAGCCAACGAUCUGUAGCUGGUCUGAGAGGACGACCAGCCACACUGGAACUGAGACACGGUCCAGACUCCUACGGGAGGCAGCAGUGGGGAAUUUUGGACAAUGGACGCAAGCCUGAUCCAGCCAUUCCGCGUGCAGGAUGAAGGCCUUCGGGUUGUAAACUGCUUUUGUACGGAACGAAAAGGUCCUGGUUAAUACCUGGGGCUCAUGACGGUACCGUAAGAAUAAGCACCGGCUAACUACGUG
rnacentral:rRNA from 1 species